UGGGGAAUAUUGCACAAUGGAGGGAACUCUGAUGCAGCGACGCCGCGUGAGUGAUGAAGGAAUUCGUUUCGUAAAACUCUGUUCUAUGGGAAGAAAAGGACUGUACCAUAGGAGAAAGCUCCGGCUAAAUACGUGCCAGCAGCCGCGGUAAUACGUAUGGAGCGAGCGUUGUCCGGAAUUAUUGGGCGUAAAGGGUGCGCAGGCGGCUUUACAAGUUGGAUGUGAAAUAUUGUGGCUCAACCACAAACGUGCAUCCAAAACUGCAAAGCUUGAGUUAAGGAGAGGUAAGUGGAAUUCCUGGUGGCGCGGUGGAAUGCGUAGAUAUCAGGAGGAAUACCGGUGGCGAAGGCGACUUACUGGACUUAAACUGACGCUCAGGCACGCAAGCGUGGGGAGCAAACAGG
rnacentral:rRNA from 1 species